rnacentral:rRNA from 1 species
UACGAAGGGGGCUAGCGUUGCUCGGAAUUACUGGGCGUAAAGGGCGCGUAGGCGGCUUAGUUAGUCAGGCGUGAAAUUCCUGGGCUCAACCUGGGGACUGCGCUUGAUACGGCUAGGCUAGAGGAUGGAAGAGGGUCGCGGAAUUCCCAGUGUAGAGGUGAAAUUCGUAGAUAUUGGGAAGAACACCGGUGGCGAAGGCGGCGACCUGGUCCAUUACUGACGCUGAGGCGCGACAGCGUGGGGGAGCAAACAGG